rnacentral:rRNA from 1 species
AGAGUUUGAUCAUGGCUCAGAUUGAACGCNGGCGGCAUNCCUUACACAUGCAAGUCGAACGGCAGCAUGAUCUAGCUUGCUAGAUUGAUGGCGAGUGGCGAGCGGGUGAGUAAUACAUCGGAACGUGCCCUGUAGUGGGGGAUAACUAGUCGAAAGAUUAGCUAAUACCGCAUACGACNUGAGGGUGAAAGUGGGGGACCGCAAGGCCUCAUGCUAUAGGAGCGGCCGAUGUCUGAUUAGCUAGUUGGUGAGGUAAAGGCUCACCAAGGCGACGAUCAGUAGCUGGUCUGAGAGGACGAUCAGCCACACUGGGACUGAGACACGGCCCAGACUCCUACGGGGGGCAGCAGUGGGGAAUUUUGGACAAUGGGGGCAACCCUGAUCCAGCAAUGCCGCGUGUGUGAAGAAGGCCUUCGGGUUGUAAGCACUUUUGUCCGGAAAGAAAUCGCACUUACUAAUAUUAGGUGUGGAUGACGGUACCGGAAGAAUAAGGACCGGCUAACUACGUGCCAGCAGCCGCGGUAAUACGUAGGGUCCAAGCGUUAAUCGGAAUUACUGGGCGUAAAGCGUGCGCAGGCGGUUGUGCAAGACCGAUGUGAAAUCCCCGGGCUUAACCUGGGAAUUGCAUUGGUGACUGCACGGCUAGAGUGUGUCAGAGGGGGGUAGAAUUCCACGUGUAGCAGUGAAAUGCGUAGAGAUGUGGAGGAAUACCGAUGGCGAAGGCAGCCCCCUGGGAUAACACUGACGCUCAUGCACGAAAGCGUGGGGAGCAAACAGGAUUAGAUACCCUGGUAGUCCACGCCCUAAACGAUGUCAACUAGUUGUUGGGGAUUCAUUUCCUUAGUAACGUAGCUAACGCGUGAAGUUGACCGCCUGGGGAGUACGGUCGCAAGAUUAAAACUCAAAUGAAUUGACGGG